AUUUUCUUCUUUUCUUAAUUUUUUCCUAUUCCUUGGCACCCUUUCCUACUGCGCGCACCCCCCCCCACCCCACCACCAAACCACAACGCGACUCUUCUUCCUUCUCACCACGCGACUCUUCUUCCUUCUCACCACGCGACUCUUUCUCACCUCUGCUGCGCCACACACACAGAGAGCGUCGCUUCUCCACCACCACCCGCUCUCGCCGCCGAUUGUCUCCACCCCGGCAGACUCCGAUUCCCUUUCUCUCCCCGCCGCAGUACUUUCCAAACCCUAACUCCCCCGUCGCCGUCUUACCUCGACCCUCCUUCCUAUGCUGAAGCCGUCGUCGCUUCUCCACCACCACCCGCUCUCGCCGCCGAUUGUCUCCACCCCGGCAGACUCCGAUCCCCUUCUCUCCCCGCCGCAGUUCUUAAGGAUUUGGCCACUUAAUUUUCACGUUUGCGAAAGGUUGAAAAGAAGACAGUCCCCAUUUGGAUGCUAUACGGUGGGGGAAUUUCUAAUUUUGAUGAUUUAGUGAACCAGAUUUAAUAUCAUGGAUGAGCAUGAGUCUAAUAGUAGUCCUCCUCCAAGUAAAGAUCAUGAAACUGAAACUGUGUGUAAUGAGUAUGAGUCUAAGAAUGUUGAUGCGGUUGAAGAGGAUAUGGAUGAUAGUGUAAAACUUAGACAAUCCUCUAGUAGUAAGAAAACUGAAAAGUCAAGAACUUCUGAUGUAUGGAAAUAUUUUACAAGGAUUGGGGCUGGUGAUGAUGGAAAAGAGAGGGCAAAGUGUAAUGGGUGCAACAAAAAAUAUGUUAUUGGUAGUCAAAGUGGCACAUCUCAUCUGAAGCGUCACAUAGAGAAAUGUACUAAACUUAAAUUUGAAGAUGUUAGGCAAAUGAUAGUGGAUGGGCAAGGAAAGUUAAAAGCUAGAAGAAUAGAUCCAAUGGUUUGCCGUCAGUUGUGUGCCAAUUUAAUUAUCCAACACGGUUUACCUUUCAACUUUGUUGAGUAUGAAGCUCUUAGAAUUUGGAUAAGCUAUAUCAAUCCUGAUGCAUGUUUAGUUUCUAGAAAUACAAUAAAGAAUGAUGUCAUGAAAAUACAUAUGAAAGAAAA